rnacentral:sRNA from 1 species
UGUUAUAACGACAUCGAAGGGACUGCU